AGUGAACGCUGGCGGCAGGCCUAACACAUGCAAGUCGAACGGCAGCACAGUAAGAGCUUGCCCUUACGGGUGGCGAGUGGCGGACGGGUGAGGAAUACAUCGGAAUCUACUUUUUCGGGGGGGAUAACGGAGGGAAACUGACGCUAAUACCGCAUACGACCUACGGGUGAAAGCAAGGGAUCUUGGGACCUUGCGCGACUGAAUGAGCCGAUGUCGGAUUAGCUAGUUGGCGGGGUAAAGGCCCACCAAGGCGACGAUCCGUAGCUGAUCUGAGAGGAUGAUCAGCCACACUGGAACUGAGACACGGUCCAGACUCCUACGGGAGGCAGCAGUGGGGAAUAUUGGACAAUGGGCGCAAGCCUGAUCCAGCCAUGCCGCGUGGGUGAAGAAGGCCUUCGGGUUGUAAAGCCCUUUUGUUGGGAAAGAACAGCAGCAGGUUAAUCCCCCGCUGUUCUGACGGUACCCAAAGAGUAAGCACCGGCUAACUUCGUG
rnacentral:rRNA from 1 species